UUGGACUAAGAACAGGUGCACAUAUGAAAAUACACAUUCUUUUCAGCAGCAAUACUAGCACAACUCAUAAUUCAACUUGAAGGUAAUCUUCGUUUAAGGAAGCUAAAGCAUUUCUAAUGCAUUUUACUCAGCAAUGAAAACUUUAAAACCCACUUAUUUCAAAGCAUGAUUUUUUGAGUUGUGCCGCUAUUGCAGCCCAUAAGUGAUAUAUGAGAUCUGAUCAAACUGAAAAGAAAGUUUUGAGAGAAGGCAAAAUUAAACCAACUUUUCUCACCUAAACUGUUAAUACCUAACAGUUUAAGUACUGAAAGAAUCUAUUUUGGGUUCGGGAAAUAUGUAAAUAUUGCAUCAGCAUAAAUACAGUUCUUUGAAAACUUUUAAUACUGGUGAUGAAAAUAAGCUAAAGUUCUGUCAAAAUUCAAAUUUUUGUCACCACUAUACACUAUUUCGCAGCGAAAAAAAAUACAUAUCUACGUGAGAACUUAUUUUUGCUAACUUUUCCUUUGGAAACUCUCUCUCCAUAAAAUAACGGAAAAAGGAAAAUUUGCUAAAAUCUAAAAUUGGUCUUACGACAAAGCUUUGAGCUGAAAGAAGAACAUAUUUUUCAGUCAAUUUAUAUCAUUCUCUUUUAAAUUUCAGGUUUAAUAGCACAAAUAUGUCUGUGUAUCAAAUCGAUGAAGUAACUAAUGAUUCAGAAGCAGGACUGUUCUGGUUUUGUUACAAAGGCAGUGCUACGCACAGCAUUAGCAGAUGUAUAAAAGAUUGGUAGGUGCAGAAACCUGAUAAAUUUGGUAGCCAUACUCAAGUGUUGAACUAAUGAGAGCAGUGUACGUGCACGUGAGAGUUACAGCAUCAAAGCCCCAAUCUCUACCAGAAAUAUAUUUUUGAAGCUGGAGCCUUUUUCUGCCCCUUUCAGUAAGCCUGUUAAUAUGUUUACCACAGUUGACUUCUGUAUCUAAUGUAAAUCCCAAAUAAGUAGGUGUCUUAGUAGAUUCAAGCAAUUUUCCUUUUAUGCAAAUGUGUCUCUUAGUAUUAAGGACCAUUCUUGAAUCGCCAUUAUAGCAAAGUAUCAGUCGAAUAAACAUUAUGUAAAUGUG